GUGAAACUUCAAAGUCGGCUCGUCCAUACUGUGCUGGUGGAGACACAUGUGCACGUUUUGGCGGGUCGCAACAUCCACACACCUGUGCAUCUAUGACUCUGAGUGCCGCUUUGCAUGGCCUUGACCGGCCUGGCGCUCGAGUAUUUUCACACACUCUCGAAUGUAACGGAAUGUCUUCUUGUGCGUAAUUGUACAAACAAAA
rnacentral:misc_RNA from 1 species